UACGUAGGGGGGCAAGCGUUGUCCGGAAUCAUUGGGCGUAAAGAGCGUGUAGGCGGCUUGGUAAGUCCGCUGUGAAAGUCCAGGGCUCAACCCUGGAAAGCCGGUGGAAACUGUCAAGCUUGAGUCCGGAAGAGGCGAGUGGAAUUCCUGGUGUAGCGGUGAAAUGCGCAGAUAUCAGGAGGAACACCAAUGGCGAAGGCAGCUCGCUGGGACGGUACUGACGCUGAGACGCGAAAGCGUGGGGAGCAAACAGG
rnacentral:rRNA from 1 species